rnacentral:rRNA from 1 species
UACGGGGGGGGCAAGCGUUGUUCGGAAUUACUGGGCGUAAAGGGUGCGUAGGCGGUCCGCUAAGUUGGAUGUGAAAACUCUGGGCUUAACCCAGAGCCUGCAUUCAAAACUGACGGGCUAGAGUUCUGGAGGGGGUAGCGGAAUUCCUGGUGUAGCGGUGAAAUGCGUAGAGAUCGGCAGGAACACCCAGGGGGAAACCAGCCGACUGGGCAUCGACUGACGCUGAGGUGCGAGAGCGUGGGGAGCGAACCGG